rnacentral:rRNA from 1 species
CACGUAGGGCGCAAGCGUUGUCCGGAAUUAUUGGGCGUAAAGAGCUCGUAGGCGGUCUGUUGCGUCCGCUGUGAAAACCCGGGGCUUAACCCCUGGCUUGCAGUGGAUAGGGACGGACUAGAGGUAGGUAGGGGAGAAUGGAAUUCCCGGUGUAGCGGUGAAAUGCGCAGAUAUCGGGAGGAACACGGGUGGCGAGGGCGGUUCUCGGGCCGAUACUGACGCUGAGGAGCGAAAGCGUGGGGAGCGAACAGG